CCUUAGAUAACUCCAUAUUUGUGCUAUAUGCAUAUACUGAAAAGAGUGUCCAACAGCAAGUUUGAUUGGGCGAUAAGUCUGUUAAAGUUUGACACAGAUAUUUCAAGUUGACCUCAGUGAGGCAAGAAAACUCACAGAAACGAUAGGGCAAAAGCUACCAUGGAUUGCUUUUAGUAUGAAUAAAGAUAGUGAAAGGGAAGCCCAUCGAUCCUUUUGACUUCGCUGCUUUCAAAUAGAAGGCAUAAAAAAAGCUACCAAAGGAUAAUUGACUUGCAGCAUACAAGAGUCCAUUGGAAUGCUGCUUCUUGAUCCUUGGACGUUGGAAUUUCCAUUUUCAUUAUCAUUUUGAAGCAGAAUUCCUCAAAUGUUGCAUUUUUCACUCACUCGAGGGGAACUCGAGCUGGGUUUAGACCGUCGUUAGACUUA
rnacentral:ncRNA from 1 species